rnacentral:rRNA from 1 species
UACGUAGGGGGCGAGCGUUGUCCGGAUUUAUUGGGCGUAAAACGCUUGUAGGCGGCCACAUCGCGUCGUGCGUGAAAUCUCCCGGCUCAACUGGGAGGGGUCGUGCGAUACGGAUGGGCUCGAGUCCGGAAGAGGAGAGCGGAAUUCCUGGUGUAGCGGUGGAAUGCGCAGAUAUCAGGAAGAACACCCGUGGCGAAGGCGGCUCUCUGGGACGGUACUGACGCUGAGACGCGAAAGCGUGGGGAGCGAACAGG